CAGCAGCCGCGGUAAGACGAACCGUGCGAACGUUAUUCGGAAUUACUGGGCUUAAAGCGCGUGUAGGCGGGUCGGCACGUCGGUCGCUGAAAUCCCCCGGCUCAACCGGGGAAGUGGCGCCGGUACGGCCGGCCUGGAGGGGGGUAGGGGGGCCUGGAACUUCCGGUGGAGCGGUGAAAUGCGUUGAGAUCGGAAGGAACGCCCGUGGCGAAAGCGAGGCCCUGGACCCUUUCUGACGCUGAGACGCGAAAGCGUGGGGAGCAAACAGGAUUAGAGACCCCGGUAGUCCCUGUCUCUUAUA
rnacentral:rRNA from 1 species